GGACAACGUUCGAUAUGCGUAACAUUUAAUGACUGGAUAAGAUAUUAAAUCGUACGUAAACUUAGAAUAAAAUUAAGAUUACAUGAAUCUCGUAUGCACGUGCGGAUAAUUUAGUGCGAACAACAUUCUUAUUACCGGUCAAGAACAAAAGAGGACCCAGUAUACUCCCUUGGGGAACACCACACACUACCGAUUCGAAAUCCGAUUUAGCGGCAUUAACAUGUACAGACUGCGUCCUAUCAUCUAGGUACGAGCGAAACCACUCCACAGACUCCACUCCCAUCGCACGAAGCUUCCGACACAGAAUGUCAUGAUCUACAGUGUCGAAUGCCUUCUGUAGAUCUAACAUAAUCAUACCAGUAAACAAGCCAUUAGAGGUUUGUCCACGUAUAUGAUCAGACAGGUGAAUAAGACAGGAGUCAGUGGAGUGAUUCCCCCUGAAUCCACUCUGAUACUCAUACAACAGACCGUUCUUCACUAAAAAGGAUUCCAACUGGUUGUAUACAGCUCUCUCUAAUAUUUUUGAAACAAUGGACAAAAUACUAACCGGUCUAUAAUCAGAAACCUCGGACCUUUUGUCUUUCUUAAACAGUGGUUUUACCUUAGCACUUUUUAAAUCAGUGGGAACUACAUUGUUAACAAUAGAGCUAUUUAUAAAAAAUGUAAUAUGAGUUUUGAUAUAAGGAGCAGAAUCUUUCGAAAAUCUGGCCGGGAUUUCGUCUAACCCAGUACUUUUAGAAAAAUUCAAUUUGCUUAACUCUUUGUAAACAAAAUCUUCAGAAACUGUAUGAAGUUUAAAAGAAUUGUGAGCAGGAUUUCUGUCUUUGUAAAACGAUUUAAAAAUGUUAGAUGCUGUAUUAAAUAGAUUUGGUAGUCAGAA